UACGUAGGGUGCGAGCGUUGUCCGGAAUUAUUGGGCGUAAAGGGCUCGUAGGCGGUCUGUCGCGUCGGGAGUGAAAACUCGGGGCUUAACUCCGAGCCUGCUUCUGAUACGGGCAGACUAGAGUUCGGCAGGGGAGACUGGAAUUCCUGGUGUAGCGGUGAAAUGCGCAGAUAUCAGGAGGAACACCGGUGGCGAAGGCGGGUCUCUGGGCCGAUACUGACGCUGAGGAGCGAAAGCGUGGGGAGCGAACAGG
rnacentral:rRNA from 1 species